rnacentral:rRNA from 1 species
UACAUGUGGGGCAAGCGUUGUUCGGAAUUACUGGGCAUAAAGGGUGCGUAGGCGGUUUGUUAAGUCACUGGUGAAAGUUUUCGGCCCAACCGGAAAAUUGCCUGUGAUACUGGCGAACGUGAGUGCGUGAGGGGUGGGGGGAACGAGCAGUGUAGCGGUGAAAUGCGUAGAUAUUGCUCGGAAGGCCGGAGCCGAAGGGGCCCCACUGGUACGUAACUGACGCUGAGGCACGAAAGCGUGGGGAGCAAACAGG